rnacentral:tRNA from 1 species
GGCACGGUGGUGCAGUGGGUAGCACUGACACAGCAAGAAGGUCCUGGGUUCGAAUCCCAGUCUCUGCCU